CCCAUUAAAUCCUACAGAUAAUCUCUCCCACAAUCAGACAGAUCCAUUAAAUCCUACAGAUAAUCUCUCUUACAAUCGGACAGAUCCAUUAAAUCCUACAGAUAAUCUCUCCCACAAUCAGACAGAUCCAUUAAAUUCUACAGAUAAUCUCUCCUACAAUCAGACAGAUCCAUUAACUCCUACAGAUAAUCUCUCCUACAAUCAGACAGAUCCAUUAAAUCCUACAGAUAAUCUCUCCCACAAUCAGACAGACCCAUUAAAUCCUACAGAUAAUCUCUC